GAUGAACGCUGGCGGCGUGCUUAACACAUGCAAGUCGAACGGGAUCCCAGGAGCUUGCUCCUGGGUGAGAGUGGCGAACGGGUGAGUAAUGCGUGACCGACCUGCCCCAUACACCGGAAUAGCUCCUGGAAACGGGUGGUAAUGCCGGAUGCUCCAGUUGGAUGCAUGUCCUUCUGGGAAAGAUUCAUCGGUAUGGGAUGGGGUCGCGUCCUAUCAGCUUGAUGGCGGGGUAACGGCCCACCAUGGCUUCGACGGGUAGCCGGCCUGAGAGGGCGACCGGCCACAUUGGGACUGAGAUACGGCCCAGACUCCUACGGGAGGCAGCAGUGGGGAAUAUUGCACAAUGGGCGCAAGCCUGAUGCAGCGACGCCGCGUGCGGGAUGACGGCCUUCGGGUUGUAAGCCGCUUUUGACUGGGAGCAAGCCCUUCGGGGUGAGUGUACCUU
rnacentral:rRNA from 1 species